UACAGAGGGCGCAAGCGUUGUUCGGAAUUACUGGGCGUAAAGGGCGCGUAGGCGGCCUUCUAAGUCGCACGUGAAAUCCCCGGGCUCAACCCGGGAACUGCGUCCGAUACUGGGAGGCUUGAAUCCGGGAGAGGGAUGUGGAAUUCCAGGUGUAGCGGUGAAAUGCGUAGAUAUCUGGAGGAACACCGGUGGCGAAGGCGGCAUCCUGGACCGGUAUUGACGCUGAGGCGCGAAAGCCAGGGGAGCAAACGGG
rnacentral:rRNA from 1 species